UACGUAGGGGGCAAGCGUUGUCCGGAUUUAUUGGGCGUAAAGAGCGUGUAGGCGGCCAUGUAGGUCCGUUGUGAAAACUCGAGGCUCAACCGUCGAGACCGCCGAUGGAAACCAUGUGGCUAGAGUCCGGAAGAGGAGAGUGGAAUUCCUGGUGUAGCGGUGAAAUGCGCAGAUAUCAGGAGGAACACCGGUGGCGAAGGCGGGUCUCUGGGCCGAUACUGACGCUGAGGAGCGAAAGCGUGGGGAGCAAACAGG
rnacentral:rRNA from 1 species